rnacentral:sRNA from 1 species
UGCAGACGCCUCUGGCGUUUCCUCCCUUUGACUUUGGCCGCGCCUGAGGGCGCGGCCUUUUUUCUUUCCGGU